AUGCCUCAGAAAAUUAAGGAAAUCAGGGACUUUCUGCUCACAGCUCAAUGAAAGGAUGCCAAAUCUGUCAAGAUCAAGAAAAAUAAGUACAAUGUGAAGUUUAAAGUUUGAUGCUGCAGAUACUUUUACACCCUGGUCAUCACGGACAAGGAGAAGGCAGAGAAACUGAAGCAGUCCCUGCCCCCUAGUUUGGCAGUGAAGGAACUGAAAUGAACCAGACACACUGAUUUGAACUGUAUUAAAAUACUAAAACUA